rnacentral:rRNA from 1 species
GACGAACGCUGGCGGCGUGCUUAACACAUGCAAGUCGAACGGAACUUCUUGGAUUGAGGCUUCGGCCAAAUGAAAUGAAGUUUAGUGGCGGACGGGUGAGUAACGCGUGAGUAACCUGCCUUUCAGAGGGGGACAACAGUUGGAAACGACUGCUAAUACCGCAUAAUGUAUAUUGAGGGCAUCCUUGAUAUACCAAAGAUUUAUCGCUGAAAGAUGGACUCGCGUCUGAUUAGAUAGUUGGCGGGGUAACGGCCCACCAAGUCGACGAUCAGUAGCCGGACUGAGAGGUUGAACGGCCACAUUGGGACUGAGAUACGGCCCAG